rnacentral:rRNA from 1 species
GUUUAACGCUGGCNGCGUGCUUAACNCAUGCAAGUCGAACGGUGAACACGGNAGCUUGCUCUGUGGGAUCAGUGGCGAACGGGUGAGUAACACGUGAGCAACCUGCCCCUGACUCUGGGAUAAGCGCUGGAAACGGCGUCUAAUACUGGAUAUGUGACGUGAUCGCAUGGUCUGCGUCUGGAAAGAAUUUCGGUUGGGGAUGGGCUCGCGGCCUAUCAGCUUGUUGGUGAGGUAAUGGCUCACCAAGGCGUCGACGGGUAGCCGGCCUGAGAGGGUGACCGGCCACACUGGGACUGAGACACGGCCCAGACUCCUACGGGAGGCAGCAGUGGGGAAUAUUGCACAAUGGGCGCAAGCCUGAUGCAGCAACGCCGCGUGAGGGACGACGGCCUUCGGGUUGUAAACCUCUUUUAGCAGGGAAGAAGCGAAAGUGACGGUACCUGCAGAAAAAGCGCCGGCUAACUACGUGCCAGCAGCCGCNGGUAAUA